rnacentral:lncRNA from 1 species
UCCGGGUAGGCGAGCGGCUCAUCGAUGACCUCCGGUUCCGGUGGUGGAGUGGCCGGCGGUGGAGGGCACGACCCGUACCCGUGCACGGGGCAGAAAUCGCGGGCAGGGCAAGGGCCGUAUCCGUGCACCGGACAGAAGGCCACGCCUGCAUCCAUGCCAUUGCCGAAGAAGACCCCCGGCGGUGGCGGGGCCUGGGCAGCGUCGAAGAACUCCUCCUUGCCCAGGAACGAGGCUGCAGCCUUGGCGGGAGCCCAGUCCAUUGGCGGAGCGACGAAGGCCGGCAUCGGGGGUGCCUGGUAGGCGUGGUGGACGACGGCAGAUGGGUUGCUUGGUCCUGCCUGCUCUGCGGCGGCGGGGCCAGGAUGAUCCUGACGACCACGGCGACCACGGCGGCCAUUGCCUGGGCCCCAAUGGCGAGGAGCACCAGCACUGUGGCGUCUGGCAGAUGGACGGAUCUCCCAUCCAAUGAAUCGAACAAGGGCAGAGGCGAUUCUAUGCAGGUUCAUCCCUGCCAUCUUACCUUCUCGUCUCUUCUUGUUCGUGCUUUGUUGGUCGAGGCUAGCGUGGCUGAUAACGUAUAAAGAUUUGAUGGAAAACUUGUGUUCUAUUGAUUCUGGGCAAAGCCCUAUUUAUACAAGGAUUUGGGGCGCCUCCGGAGAGGCGUCCGUUUACAACGGGCGCCCGUGGCGCGAGAAGACGCCCGUACGGACGUUCGCAUCCAUACGGCGCUUUAGACACACGUGACGACUCUUAGCGACUUUGCUUUAUUCUUAACAUGGAUGUAAUUUUUUACUUCUUGUGUUCUUUGUACUAACUUGACAGUUGAUGAAUAGAUAGGAAGUUUUCUUGCAAAAAAACACAUGUUACCUAAGUAAAAGAUAAAAGUUUACUAAUGAGUAUCUAGAGGGUUUUCUUUUUACCAUGCUGGUAUAUAGUAGGCAGGGCCACUGCUCCGUGAUCGAGAAGAGGAGAGCCUCAAAUACUAUGUUACAAUGGUAAUCCAAGUACUAUUAUACAUUAUGUCCAAAAGAUUAUUAAAUAUGUGAAAAAAAUCUUAGUUAGCAGAGAAGUCUAUAGCACAGACCAAUAUCGUGUAUUGCCUGUCUCCCAUCGAUAAAUAUCAUACAUGUUGUACUAGAUCCUACUAAAUAGAUUUUAUAUAUAAUUUUGUGAACAAUGUUUUAUCCUAGAAACUAGCAGGAGCUCUUGUAUACACCGGAUGAAACCAAUAUUGUUCCAGAUGAG